GAAGGAUCCAAAAACAUAGGGAGGGAAGAUAUCACAAGCCUUACACAAAAGGUUUUAACUUUGAGGAUUAAAGUAAAAGAAGCAACAAAGAUUAGAGGGGCUAAAGAAUAAACAUCAUAAAGCAACUAAAGAGCAAUCAGAAACUCGAGUUCCUCUAUCACUCACCGUGCGUCGACAGAGGUAAAUGAAUUUGCAAAACCAGAUGGCCGGUUCGGUAUGCUGGUUUGUGUAUUGUCUCCACUGGCAAGGAAUGAUGACGAAGAGGAUGACUCAUCCAUAUUGCUAUUUCCUUCAAAUGCCUGCCAUUUCCUAAGGGCCUGUGGUAAUGAAAGCUCAAGAUCUAUUCCCAAAUUCUCUUCAGAAUCUGGUUCUGUAGGCUUCCAGACAUCGACUAGAGACGAAAGCACGUU
rnacentral:misc_RNA from 1 species